AGAAGAUACGUUACAGAAGUUGUUCUCUCCCUUACUACUAUUACUACCACCAUUACAAAUGCCGAUUGCAGAAUAGGAUAGUUAAGGCUAUGACCUAUCAGGUCCCUAGCAGUUUAAACUGGUGUUUUAGUCAACGUUUUGAGAAUAGUGAUGGUGAUCCUCAUGAGCUUGAUAUAGUAACACCAGAAGAAGCUAAAAUGUUUCCGUGCUGUUCGGAAGCCAUUUGCAGUUCUUCAGUUUGAGGAGCUUGGCAUUUUCAUUUGCCAUGCCUUCUGGAUUGUCGGUAUUGAAGAGAGUCUUACUAAGCCCUGUGGGUUUCGCAAUGCGUCUUCGAAGCAGAGUAAAUGCUGCUUUUAACAAACAUCUUUUUAUAACAAAUGUUGUAAUAUCCCUUACACUGUCAGGUAAAGUGUUUUUGGAUUCUUAUUUGCAAUUUC